rnacentral:rRNA from 1 species
GAUGAACGCUGGCGGCGUGCCUAAUACAUGCAAGUCGAGCGAACGGACGAGAAGCUUGCUUCUCUGAUGUUAGCGGCGGACGGGUGAGUAACACGUGGAUAACCUACCUAUAAGACUGGGAUAACUUCGGGAAACCGUAGCUAAUACCGGAUAAUAUUUUGAACCGCAUGGUUCAAAAGUGAAAGACGGUCUUGCUGUCACUUCUAGAUGGAUCCGCGCUGCAUUAGCUAGUUGUUAAGGUAACGGCUUACCAAGGCAACGAGGCAUAGACGACGGGAGAGGGGGGUAGGCCACCCGGGAAAGGGGACAAGGGCCAGACGACUGAGGGAGGGAGCAGAAGGGAAACUUACGCAAAGGGGGGAAACAUUACGGAACAAGGGCGCGUGAGAGGUGGAAGGGCUCGGAGCGGAAAAAUCUGUUAUUAGGGAAAAACAGAUGUGGAAGGUAAUGAGGACAGAGUGACGGUAACGAAUCAGAAAGCCACGGCUAACUACGUG